rnacentral:ribozyme from 1 species
UAUCUUUUCUUUUAAUUUUCUUUUCUUCUUCUUCUUCUUCUUCUUCUUUUUCUUGUGGUUCUUUUGAGAAGACAGGAGCAUAGACCAGACGUGGCGGCCCAAUGAGUAGUAAAUGAAUCGAGAAA